AGAGCUCUGAAAGUGCUCUUAGAUAAUGUAAAAGAUAAAUGAAACUAGCCUUGUGGUGAGAAGGUCUUAAGAUUUUGGCAGAAUUUUAAAAAAUAUAUUUGAAGCCUCCAAUUCCUCUUCACUGUUACAGAUAAAGUCGCCAAACCCUUAACGGAAGAAGGGACUCUAACAAAGAAAGCUUUGGAAGAUACAAACUUGUUAGUACUUUCCUUUUUCCAGUGCAAAAUAAGGGCCCAGGAGCACUAGGAAUUUGAACACAAAAAGUAUAUCCUUCCUAAUGAAGCAGGUGGUCCUUAUUCAUACCCCUGCAGCUCUGUAGUAAUGAUGUCACUGAAUUGAUCUUCAAGAUUUCAUUUGAACAUGUCUUUGUCAGGGACUGCUUCCACUGACAGAAGGAACUGCUGCCAGAACUGAUUAUCUGCAGGCCUGGAGGUUGAAGACAGAGAAGGAAUACAGCAUACAACAUGUUAAGUAAAUGUAUUAAAUGUUUGUGCUCAAUGCAAUAACUUGAUUACUGAAACUGUAGGAAAUAAAUUAUACAAGCAAUCAGAUCAAAGAUACAGUAAUUCUGUAAGGAAUAUAUCCAAAGUGUAGAUUGGAUGCCCAACAGGUAAGUCUCAGUAAACACUAUUAAAAUAUCAUUUCCUUU